ensembl:lncRNA
GGGGGAGGCAAAACAGAGAGGAGGCACGAAAGUUACAGGGAGGGGGAGAGAAGGGCCACAUGAAGCCGUCUUGUUCCAUCAUAUGGCUUAAAAAAUGUGAAGGGAACUCCAAGCUGCAGAAGACUCCUUGCACACAGACUUGCUUGGAACUCUGCUCUGACAGAAUCAGAUAAUUACUUAGGAAAUAAACAUUGCACUACAGACAGCCGUUCUGUUUCUUCCUUGGUUGGCGACUCCAGUUGUCGGUGUGGGUGGGGCUCACGGGGAGCUGUCUGCUUAGCAGAUGCACUUGCAGAGCCUCGAGACUGCCCUCCUGCUUGGGUCAGGCUCGGGCCUCCUUGUGAAUAGAACAACUUUAGAGGGGGUAUUCCUUUGUUUUUACAUCUGUCUUCCUCUAAAUGAAUGACUUUUAAAAAGUGUGUUUUUAAUUCAUUUAACCUUGGGUGAAAAAAGAAAAAUGAAGGAUAAUAUAGUAAACACUCUUACCUGCCAUCCAGAACUGAGAGUGAUAGGAGAAGGAUUCCCAUUCAUUUUCUCCUCCCCAGCCUCCUUGUCCCCAUCCCAGACUGUCCUCUGAGUCUCCCGGCUGAUCUCCUGGCCUCCAGGAUGGGCCAUCCCCACAGUUUGACGUGAUCUUUGUAAAACAUAGCUUUGACCAUGUUACUCCACGCAUCAGAAAACAUAAAAAUUUCCCUAUUCCCUAAAGCAUAUUAUUCAAAUCUCUGACCAUAGACUUUCAGGCCUUUCGUAACAUGGCCUUCUUGCUCCCUUUUAAUGUGCUUCACACACACACACACGUACACACACAUGCACAAACACACACAUAUACACAUGCACACUACGCUCACAUCGCACGUGCCUUUCAUACCUUUGUGGAUGAGACCUUCUUUCCACGUCUGGAAAAUACCUCCCUACUCCUUGCCUGCUGAACUCUCCUCGUUCUUUGGAUCCAUCUCAAAAGUGCCCUCCACUCUGCAGUCUCUUUCCCUCCGCGCGCUGUGUUCCCUUAGCACUCUGAGCGCCCUUCUCUGGAAGGGCUAUGUUAUAAUUCUCCGUGUGUGCGUUUCUCCAAAUAGACUGUAAGUUACUUGCAAGUAGGAUGACUCGCUCACCUCUUCAAUCCCAGGGGACAGCACUGUGCUGGGCACAAAGGAGUAUGAUUGAUGUUCAAUGAAGACAUUCGUUUUAAGAGCUUCUAAAGGACGAUUAACAUCUCUGACAUCUUUUUCACUUAUCUCUUAUGCUCUCUUACUCUCAUUUUUAUUUUCUGUUUUUUUCUUUCUUUUGAUUACAAAAAUAAUACAAGUUUUUUAAAGAUUCAAGAAAUGUGUAAAAAGUGGCGAUCCCUUGCUCCACUCCACCUGAAUACCCCCUAUUUUAACGGCAUAUGUUGUUAAACACUUGUGUUUCUUCUUGACUUCUGUUUUGUUGUAUUUUCCUAGCUAGAUCAUAUGUAGGGAUCACGUACCAUGUGUCUGUGCAUUUCCCAGUAAUGCCUAAUGCAGUGUUGUACAUGUCAUAAGUGCCCCCAAAAUAUGGACUAAAUGAACACAUACUGGUUGGGUUUAUUUUUUAAAUUACGUUAAGUAAAUUGCUUCACUAAUCUUCACAGUAGCCCUAAUGAUUGGUAUUAUAAUCCUUAUUUUACAGAUAAAGAAAGUUAGGCUCCAAGAGAUUAUAUAAAUUGGCCAGUUCAGAAAGGCAAGGAGUAGUGGGGUCUGGAUUCAAACCCAGAUCUUCAUUUCAUUGCCUCUGCUCCUUCCACUUGACUCUGUAGGUGGGUCUGUGGGUACCUAGAGGGAAGGCGUCUAACUCAGCUCUGUAUACCCAGUAUUUGCUCAGAGCUUAAGGGUUUACGGAGCCCGUAGCCCACAGAUGCCCUUCCAGCUAGGCAUCGUUGUCCUUUUACAGAUGAGAAAUGGAGGCACUCAUGAUAAGUUAAUGCGAUUUGGCCAAGCCCCUAGAGCUGGGGAGAAAUGGAAGGUGUUGAUCCCAGGUCUUGGGGCCAAGGCUCAUUCCUCAUUGUUAGAUGUGAGAUUUGGUCCCAGAAGGGGCAGAGAACCUGCUGCCUCCGCUUUAGUACAGUGACUUAAUGGGAAAUGGGAAAUGACUUAAUGGGCUGGCUGGUAGGUCUGCUUCUUGAAGAGGGGUAGGCUUUGCUGGCACUCAAGUCUGGGGACUUGAGCUCUGGCAGGGUCCACAUUUUCUUGGACUAUGGCAUGAAGAGCUUCCUCUGUCUCCUAAUCCUGCUCAUCUGCAUGUCUGAAGUCCUUUGAACAGAACCAUGGACAGAGUUCUUUAUUUGCGACCUUGUUGAGCAAGUGUGGACAUAGCUUGUGGUUCUGUAGGUAUGCUGCAAAACCUGAUGGGGGUUUGAAACUUUAGUGUUGGAAUACUUUGUCAGUGAGGUGGUGGAUGCUGCGGGCCUCCAGAACUUGGCUUUGAUGGCAUCUGCCUUCUGGACGGGACAGUGCGAUUACAGCUCCUGUUUUUUAUUUUUUUGUUAAGAUUAUGAUAGUUUACAACCUUGUGAGAUUUCAGUUGUACAUUACUGUUAGUCAUGUUGUAGGUACACCACUUCACCCUUUGUGCCCUCCCCACAACCCCCCCUUUCCCCUGGUAACCACUGAUCAGUUCUCUUUGUCUAUAUGUUAACUACCACCUAUGAGUGGAGUCAUACAGAGUUCAUCUCUCUCUGUCUGGCUUAUUUCACUUAACAUAAUACCCUCAAGGUCCAUCCAUGUUGUUGUGAAUGGGACAAUUUUGUCCUUUUUUAUGGAUGAGUAGUAUUCCAUUGUAUGUAUAUAUAUACCAUAUCUUCUUUAUCCAAUCAUCAGUUGCUGGGCACUUAGGUUGGUUCCACGUCUUGGCUAUUGUAAAUAAUGCUGCGAUGAACAUAGGGGUGCAUGGGACUUUUGGAAUUGCUGAUUUCAGGUUCUUAGGAUAGAUACCCAGUAGUGGGGUGGCUGGGUCAUAAGGUAUUUCUAUUUUUAACUUUUUGAGAAAUCUCCAUAGUGGCUGUACCACUGCCCCACCAGCAGUGUAUGAGGGUUCCUUUUUCUCCACUGCCUCUCCAACAUUUGUCACUCUUGGUUUUGGAUAUUUUUGCCAUUCUAACAGGUGUAAGGUGAUAUCUUUGUGUAGUUUUGAUUUGCAUUUCCCUGAUGAUUAGUGAUGAUGAGCAUCUUUUCAUGUGUCUAUUGGCCAUCCUUAUAUCUUCUUUGGAGAAAUGUCUGGUCAUGUCCCCUGCCCAUUUUUUGAUCGGGUUGUUUGAUUUUUUGUUGUUGAGCUGUGUGAGUUCUUUAUAUAUUAUGGAGAUUAACCCUUUUACAGCUCCUGUUUUUGAGUACUUGAAGAAUGUUAGACGCCGGGUUGGGCUUACUACCUGUAUUCCCUUAUUUAAUCAUUCUAACAAUCCUAGGAAUAGCAUUAUGAUCUUCACCUAGAGUAGUGACUGGCACAAUAAAUAUCAAUAAAAUAUUUGCUGAGUUUUUAAUGAAUAGAGAAGGAAACCACGGAACUGAGAUCUUGAGUAACUUGUCCUAGCUUACCCAGUGAGUGCAUUUCAGAACCUGGAUCUGAUCUGAAGUCCUUCUGACUCUAGAAACUGUACUCCUUGACCAUACAGUGUUUCUUCUGGAUUGGAAAUCCUGACCAGGUGACUUAAGAGAACUUGAACUUGUAGAUCCCUUUGUCCAACUGCUUUAUUUAGGAGUGGGAAAAGUUCACUAUGGGCAAGGUGCUUCUCUAACUACUUUAGAUGUACUGACUUGUUUCAUCUUCACACUCUACAGAUAAUGAAUAUGAGGUGCGGCUCGAUAGUAAAGCUGGGAUUUGAGCGUAGGUAGUCUAUUCUCUUUGCUACUCAAGUGUAUAAGAUUCUGGGACCUGUUUAAGAUGCUAGAGUUACUUAGCAGUACAACUGUUAUCAUCAUCAUCAUCAUCAUCUCCACCACCACCAUCACCAUUAUCAUCAUUGUCACUGUUGAUGCCUUCGUAGCAAUUGUCUUUACUGAGUACCCAUCUUGUGCUUAUGGCACUUUUCAUGUUAUCCUAUUAAUUCUCCAAAUAACCCCAUAUUUCCAUAGAAGGAAACUGAGGCUCAGUGAGGUUAAAUGAAUGUUGAGAGUCACGUGGCCAGUAAAUGCAGGACGGGGCUGGGACCCAGUGUGUCUGAUCUCAACAUCUGUUCUCAUUUUCUCUCUUCAGACUCUUUUUUCACUGAUCCUUGUUGAUGCUCCUGGAAUCCAGCAAAGCACGAAAUGAUGAAAUUUUUCUUGGUUUAUUUUCUCAUAGUUAACCCAAUGCUCAGAAGGGUCAUUGUUUAAAAAGACAUAGGCUUUGCGUUUCAGGACCCUGAGGUUUUUCUCCUCUUCCACUGUUAGGCAUGCGAAGGGUCACCUGAUGUUUCUGUGUGUCUCUUUCAACCUCCUGGAAAUGGAAUAAUAAUAUUACCUACUGUGCUUCCUGAUACAGUGAUGGGAAUAGAAACGUUGGGGCCCUUGUGACUUUAACUCCUACUUCGAGAGUGAGGGCAGCUUGUGAAGGAGAGAAGGGAGGCUUUCACAGGUUGAAAUCAACUACCUUGGGCUGCUAGUGACACUGGUUGGUUUGGGCAAGGAAGUGACCAAUACUCAGUGACGUUUAGGCUCUCUCUCUGUUAGUGAUAGUGCAAGAAUCCUAUAUCAUUAAUAGUUGUCACUUGUGACAUAAAACAGUCAUGUUGUGGAGGGCAGGAGACCCAAUGAUGUUAGACAACCUUUCAAUUUAUGUGGCAAAGCACAUGAAGUUCCUAGCUCAAAGGCGGAGAAUUAAACAAGAAUGAAUACCAAAUACAGGAUUCGUUUGUAUUCAUAGGCUUUUAAUAAAUAAAAACAUUUUUUUCCUAGAAUGAGCUCUGAGCUAUAGGUCUUGAGACUUCUUGUUUAAUUAACAUGCAGAAUACAACUUCUUGUUUCAAAUGACCAUUUUUUUUGGAAGCUUGAGCUUAGAUCUUUAGUGACAUUUUUUCUCCAAGCAAAUAUUUACAGUCAAGUUGGAAACUGACAGGAAGGAGGGUUCAAAAUGAAAAUGUUACCAAACUGAAAUUUACAUAUGAGUGAAACACAUGGUGUCACCAUGGAUGGAGUCCUGGGAACUCAAAAUAUUUGUUAGUUUGUAGAAGGUGAAGAAACCAAGCUGUUUUCAUCCAUUCCUGUUGACUCUAACAAUCACAUUUUUGCACGUGUUUUGUGGUGGCCAUUUUGACUUCUUAUCUGUUUGGUUUUACCAAGGUGGGGGAACCCCAGACACUUGCUUCUUUUGUCUUCUGUCCCGGGGAGGCGGACUGCCUGAGGGUGAGUCCACAUCUAUUUCUCUCCACACUUGUGCUUAUGCAGGUCCUCCUGCCUGGACUGCCCCCCACCCCUGUCAGUCUCCUCCCAGCCCAUUGGUCUCUGCACCUGCGGUCAGGGCCAAGCGCUGCGGGAGGUUUCUUAGUCAACUCUACUCAGCACUGAUGAGCACUGACAGGGCUGGCUUUUUAUCACUUUACUAAUUUUUCAAAUCAUUUAAAUAAUACAAGUUAAUUGUAAAAAAAUGCAAAAGCAUAGAAAAAUAUAAGGAGUUAGUAAAAGUCAUUUGGAAUUCCAGUUCUCUGUGUUAUCUAUCAUUUGGUGACCAUCCUUUCAUUUGUCUCCUUAGGCAUAUAUACUAGCAUAUGUAGACGGAUACAGUUUUACAUUCUCUGCCUCACUAUGCAAGCUGUUAGCUUUUUAUCCUGAACAUUUAUUUUUUGAUAUUGUUUUUUGUUUAUUUACUUUCCCUUGCCCCGCAUAAUCUAGAAACCUAGGUGCCUUCUGUAUCUUCCUCUAGCUCCUAUAACAUUUACAAGUAUGUGUUCACACACACACACACACACACACACACACACAUAUAUAUAUAUAUACAUACAUAGGGAUUUUUGUCAGUGAUUUUAAAAAUGAGAUCAUAUAAACCUUCCUUGGCAUAUUGCAUUUCUCACCUAAAACGCUAUGGGAAACUAUCUCCUCUCCCCGCCACCAGCCCCCCCUCAGCCAGUUGGUAUAUAGAUGUGGCACACUUUUCAAUGGCUCUGUAAGUUUCAGUGAAUAUGAAUAUACCACAGAUUCUUUCAACCAUUUCCUCCAGAUGGGCAUUUUUCCUCUGUUCCACUAAUUCUUAUAAACAAUGCUGAAAUAAGCAACGUUCUACAUAUAUCAUUAUCUGUGGAUGUUUUAACUCUUGUGAGUAGAUUCCCAAAACUACCAUUUCUGAGUCAAAGGAUAUGGGCUCUUUAAAGUUGUAGUAGAUGGUGCAAUAUAUCGUUCCAAAGAGAAUGUCAUGAUUCACAUCUCCACUGGCAUGUGUGGAACAACCUUUUUCUUAUGUCUUUGUAAGCAGCACAUACUACUUUCUCUUUAACUUUUGCUAACCUGAUGGUAAGCAGUAACGGAUAGGUACCUGACCAAUACCUCAUUGCUUUUUACUUUGUCUUUUCUUGAUGUCUACCGAGGAGACAUCAGUUCACGUUUCCAGGGCAUUUGGAUUUGCUUCUUGGUGGUCAGCUAAUUCAUCAUCUUUUCCCCUUUUCCUUUUGGAUGGUUUGUCUUUUUCUUAUUGUUUUGUAUGGAUUCCUUUGAUAUUAUGUAUAGCAGUCUUUUUUCUGUCGUCCACAUUGCAUAUGCUUUUCUUUCCCUAGAGGUUUGGUCUAGUGUUAUAAUGAUCUUUUUAUCUGCCUGUUUCCAAAUGAGACCAUGAGUUUCUAGACAGCAGUGAGGUGUCUGACUCAUCUCUGGGACAUCACGUCUAGGGCAAUGUCUGAAAGAGUGUAGGUUCAGAAUAAAUGGUUGUAACACUGAGUACGUGUGUGAUAUCCAGAUGUACUUCACUUAACAUUGAAUUAUAUGAAAUAAUUUAUGUAUGUGGCAUCAUAUAGACUGAGAUGUUUCAAAUAAGUAAAGUUUCAUGAUGACAAAUGUUCUGGAAAUAUUUAUAAGUGAGUUACAUACUUCUCUGAUUUUUAAAAUAGCGUACGACUCAGAAAUAUCAUUAUGAACAUCAAUUCUUGUGUUGGCUAUGUACUUGAUAAUCUCAAGGGCUAUUGAGGGAUGCAUGACUGUUUGCCUGUGUAUGAGUGUCCCCAGACCUAUGAAUGUGUGCAUUUUAAAUUCUCCUGUCUCUUUUUUAUGCUUUUUCAGUCUCUUCCUUCAUGGUCAGAUUGUGGUAUCGUGUCCUGGGAUCGCCAGUUUGUCUUCCUCUAAAAGCAGUCCCCUUCCCUUCGUCGCUCUCUUCGUGCUGGCUGUGGACUGAUGUCUCAGGAAUCGUGCUCAUUGGAAAUGUGGAUAUGAUUAGGGCCAAUAAGCACCAACCAAGUCUUGGCCUGGGUGCCAUUUCUAUGAAUGAAGGUGUCAGCUCCAGGAAAAAUAUAACUUUGGCAGUUUAGGGGUCUUUUUUGUUUCUUUCUUUGUUUACGACUGUUUUCUGGAAUAGUUAGCUUGCUGGAUAAGCGAAGGGGUGUCAUGCCAUGUCCAUUAAUUAGGAUAUAGGUCCAACUUCAAGUAGCCAAGACCCAAAAUAAAAUGAAUUAAAAAUGUCUCUAAAAUGGUAGAAAUAUAUGUCUCAGUCUUGUAAAAGUCUGGGUGCACAGGGCAGCUCCAAGCUGUGAAGUCAUGCCAGGUACAGGGUCCUUCUCACUUGCUACUCCUCCGUCCCUAGGACACUGCUGUCAUCUUCAGGGUCCACGAUGGUACAUCAUCACAUCCUCAUUCAAACUGAAUGGCUGAAAGAGAGAAAAGAGGUCAGGGGAAGACAUCCUCAUUUCUUUUAAGGGCAUGGCCAGAAGUUGUACCCAUCAUUUUUUUACAUCAUCAUUCACCAGGACCAAGUCACCUGGGCACUCGUAACAGAAGGGAGAGUAAGGAGUAUUGUCUUUAUUCUGGAUGGCCAUGUACCAGAAUUAGGGUGCUAUAUUAGAAGAUGGGAAGAAUGAGUGUUGGUGAACACACUAGUGGUCUCUGCCACGCCUACCCUCAUCCUUCCCCGUGUCUUUUCUUGUAAGAUUGCCGGCCCUUGAGCGCUGUCGCUACUUCUUUUGCUCCCCUCCUUCCACUGUUGUGUGCAGGGUAAAAUAGUUACUCAACAAAGACAGCUCUAUUUGUGAUCUUUCUCCUCGUUUUAGUGGUGGGAAAAUGCCUGAAGGAGAAUUGAGCUUGCUGAUGACACGAAGCUCUGAGACUAGAAACCUUUGGGCUUCUUGGCUGAUUUUCCUUUAAUUUAUCCCAUGUCCUAUCUAGUCCUUUAUGGCUCCACGCAGGGUUAGUUAUUCCUAUUUCUUAUUCAUCCCUCAUUUUCAGUUUUAAGAGGUUCAGGUGUGGAGACCACAAAAUUGGAAGCAGGUGUGUUGGGCAACUCUGUGAGUGUCAAGGGGGAAAUCAGCCCCCUGCAAAUAAUACAAAUGAGCCAGAGUUGGAGAUUAUGACCUCUUUUGCAAAGAGGGUUUCCUGGUAAUCAGCAGAUUGCAUCUCCUAGCUGAAGUUUCUUUACCCCGUGGGCUCCCAUUGCCUUUCUGAUCAACACAGGAACACCCCUUCCCUUACUCCGGACUGACUCUGGAAUUGGGUUUGCUCCAGGCAAGCGGCUGAUUCUAAGUGGUCCCCCUGCUUCUGAAGCAUAAAUGCAACUCAUUUGCUGUAGGUGUGGGAGGAUUCCGAGGGGUGAUACUUAACCAUGCCCUUUCUCCCUCUAAGCUACAAAGACUGGGAGAUGAGCACUGGAUGAAAACAUGGAUCUUAUUCCUGUUAAAACUUAAUUGGAGAAUUUAGGUUUUGCAGCAACAAAAGUUGGAAUCUGACUUUGCUACCAUGUAGUUAUAUGUCUUUGGGCAAGUUAGACACCAUAGGGCUGUUGUCAGAAGGCUGAAUAAAAUAAUGCCUGUGAAGCGCUUAGCAGAGAACGCAUAGUAAAUACUCAAAGUUAGCUGUUCUUUCGAUUAUAAGAUAAUCAUUGUUAUUGAAAGUGUUUAAUAAAUGGUAGUGAUCACUAGAACCCUUUCCAGACCAAAAUGUAGAGUGGGGAUCCGUGACACCUCCUAUGGGCUGUAGAACCCACCUCAAAAUACUUUGAAGCCGCCAGUGGAUUGAGAGGAGGAGUGAGAAUAGACAGAAAUUGACAGAAGUCACCAUCAGGCAAAAUCACUUACAGAGCAGUUCAGUGACAGUGUGAGACAGUGCCUCUCGACAUCAGGUUUCAGUAAUUGACUGUCACCAGGAUUUUACUAACAGUUUCGCCUCCUUUACAUAUUUCUUUCUUUACUCCAGAAUUUUUCCCUAAAAACAAAAAACAACUGACACUGAAGUGACACUGAAAACAGUGUCAAAACUUCAGUGAAGGUCAAACAUUUUCCAAGGGAUUGCCUGGAAGCGCUCCUCCCGCUGUGUUCCCUCUGUGAGGGCGCGAUGUUAAGACAGUGGGAGCUCCAAGCGGGUGUCGACAAGCAGCUUGGAAUACGGCAGCUGUCUCCUUUGUGCCGAACUCCCGGCACAGUGUCUUACACAGAGCAGAUGCCCUUCCGUCUGUGUAUGUGCAGAACACCUUCGCUUUCUCUCUUUCCCCUGUGGGUCCACACUUAUUUCACUACAUUCAAUUCGACAAACAUUUAUGGAACCCCUACUGUGUGCAGGGAGCUCUCCUGAUUCUCCGCUUCUGUGCUUGUUUCUCCCACCACAUUAACGUUAUUACUUUAUUAGAAGUAAAGGCUUGUGUCAAAAAAGAAAUACACUAGUUGCUGGCGUCUACUGUUUUUAAGGGGACAACAAAAAUUUUUUUGUUACUGGUUUCUGUAGAAACAUGUUUCGUUUUGGGGGCCUAAAUGGAAGUAAAGUGGGAAGAACAGUGGCCUGGAGGGGACGUGAAGGCCAAGGACCUCGCCCUAAUUUGACAUGUGACCUUGAGCAUGUUGUUUAACGUUUCUGGGCUCCACGUUUCCACUGAUUAUUAAGGACCUUAUAUAUUAUAUAAAGCCUGAUAUAUUAUGAUUCAGAAAAGUGUGCAAGGACUAUGACACAGUCUGGGUCGCUGUCCUGAUGGGGGCAGUGUAGUGGAUGGGGAAUUAGAAGGCUUGGUUUGAUCUGUGGCCUUGACAUUUGGCUUGUGUGUUGUUGGCCUUAAGCUCUCAGCCUCCCCAAAUCCUUCCCCAUAAAGUGGGGGUGCUGCCUCUCGCCCUUCCUGCUGCAGAAAGCUGUUGAGAAGCUUCAGAGAGAAGACGCAUGUGAAAGUGAGCAAUGAGUGACGGGGACCGUACACACACACCUGGAAGCUAUUGUUACUGCUAAUAAUCAUCUGGAUUUCAGGAUGUUAUUCCAGACAACACUUUUGCAUUUUGCCUUCCAGGUUGUUUGAAGGAAACAUCACCUUUCUGUUUCGGGGUUUUUUCCCCCGAAAGCAGUCUGGGAAUUUCUCAAAGGCGCGGGUGCUCUGUCCUCUGUGUGUCUUUCCCGUCACACCUGUCUUGGGCCCCAGCGCCUGUCUGAGUGCAUAAUGUCUUCUCUGUUGGCCUGAAAGGAGACCAUUUGUCCCCUGCUAAAUGAGCUGUUACUGUGCGCCACUGUCCCCUCGACACCUGGGGCGGUAUUCACGGGAGAAUCCAGCCGUGGAUCUCGGGAGCCUUUUUGAAAAGUUUAUUAGAAGAAGGGAGAAACCAUUUCUCUGUAGGUGGUGCCCUCCGUCACUGGCCUCAGCCCAUUAGUCAGAGGCGGGCGCCUCACCUGGGGGAGGCAGGUCUGCAGGCGCUGCUGGCUGCCAGGGCGGCCCAGCCCCCACAGCCCCUCCCUGGCCCUCCUGCCGCCCCUGCCUCACAGGGGCUGAGUAACUCUCAUCGGCACGUGGCUGCAUGUGGUUGGGGCAGUUUAUCGAAGCCUGCCUCCAGGGGCACCUUUCCUUCAUUGUGGCCCCAGGCCUGACCUAAUCUCUGUCUCAGACUGGGCCCUUUGGGCUCUGUCCACUGUGAAGGGCCUGGCUCCGAGAGACAAGGGGCAGCUUCUGUCCACACCGUGGUGGCCAGGUCUGCUCCAUAAGGAGCAGGCUGCCCAGUCAGCUCUUUCUUUGGGUGCCUGGAUGGCUUGGGGGUUUCAUUCACUGGGGAGGAUGCUGCUGUAUGACGUACCAGGCGCUGGUCAGCUCAGUCCUGGGUCUCUUGUGGCAUCCUGUGGACGCACGAUGAUUCCAAAGGGCAGGAGAGAGAUCCCGAGAGAUUAUUUUGUCACAACACUUACCCCACCCCUCCCUCUGUACACGCCCCACACGCUCUCUACAGAGAGGCAGAAUGAAUUGGUGACCCAACCAGGACUGGAAUUCAGGGCUCCCGACCUGGAAGAGAACAUGUGUCUGUCUCCUGCGUGGGGGACGCUGCUUCCUCAUCUCUUCACCCUUGCAGGCCAGGUGUUCAGAAAAUCCUUAGAAAUAGAUUUACUGGGGUCUUGGAAUAGGAGAUUUUCAUGGUUAAUCAUUUGAUUGCUGGGUUCAAAUCCUGGUUCUCGAACUUGUUUAACAUCUGACCUUCAUCGAGCUAUUUAACCUCUCCAAAUGUCAGUUUCCGUUGCUGUAAAAUGGGGGUGAUAAUGAUUGGAUCUACUUCACAGGGUGCUUGUAGGCAUGAAAUGAGACAGACACGGGGCUCCCCGUGAUAUUUCAUUGAGUGUAAGUAAUUGUUUUCAGUUAGCUCCUAACUCUGCACCCAUCACGCAGAUGAGGAUCUUGAGGCUCGGGGAGAGGCACUGACUUGUCCAGCGUUAAACGCUAAUUACAGACAGAGGCGGAAAGAGAAUCUCCUCUGCGCCGUCUUCCUAUUCCACUGUGAUCCGGAUUUGAGAGCAGGCCCUCCUAGAGUUUUCCUUCAACCGCUAAGUCCCUGGCUCUCUCUGUUGGCUCUUGUCCAUCUCCCCCAAGUCUCGCCCCCACACAUUCUAGGUAUCCCACGACUAUGGGGCUGGGUAAAGGUCACAGGCUCUGGGGUUAGACUUUCAGAGCUCAGGGCCUGGCCCCUGUGUCUCGCUCCCUGAGUGGCAUCUGGCAAAUCCCCAUUCUGAGGGUGUCUCGUCCUCUGCCUCAAGCCUUCAGUGGCUCCCAGUUGCCUCAUGGCCGGCCCUCCAUGCUCUGGCUUGGGCAGUCUCCUUGGGAAUCGCUUGCAGGUCCCUGUGUGCGCCAUGCUCUUGUUCCCUUGUGAACCUUUGCCCACUCUGGGACACAGUUCAUUGAAUGAAUGGUGCUGAGUGACUUGAACUCUUCCAGCUUUCCAGAGCUGUGAUUCCAGGGAAUAGGUAGGUGGGCCCAGCAGGAGGAGGGCCCAGCCCUUCCACGGCCACCUGUCCCCUGCCUGGCUACCCUCAUCUUUCCCCUGAUGGCUGAGCAGACUGCCUGCUGGGCAGGCUUUUCUGCCCCCAGGACUGUUUUCUGCUCAGUGUGAAAUCCCAGUUCUGUGCACCUCUCUCGCUGCUCUGCCUCUGAGCAUCCUGCACUUUCCCAUUGUGUCACCUGUCACAAGGUAUCAAUCCUGUUUACUUGUCUGGGAGCUCCAGGAGGCACGGACCUCAUCUGUUUUGCUCCCCAUUGUAGCUCCAGCCCUUGGCAAUAGAGAACCUAUAAAUAUUUGCUAAAGGAAUGAAAGAGUGAAUGGGUCCAGGGUUGGGGCAGUGACAGAGAGGCAGGCAGGCAGGCAGGCGUGAGUUCCAGGAGAAUGCGUGGCCCCAGGUCCUGGCACGUCUGAUGUCUCUUGCUCAGCUGAUGGCAAACAUCGGGCCUAGCCUUUAUUUUUCUCAUUAUGUUUAAAACCCACCAGUCGCCCAAUAGUAUAAUUUUCUAAGUGGUUUCAUUUCAGCUCUGCUAAUUGAAGAGAACCGAGCUCCUUUUGAAGGCUUACUUUGUGUGUGGCUGUCACUGGUGAGCGUUGAGACUGGUUGUCAAUCAUUGACAAUAGCUUGCCGUUCUGGAAUAAUUUAAGUUUAGGUAUUUCUUUCACUCAGACAUUCAUACCCUGUUAUAUGUUUUCAUACUGAGCUGAGAACAAUCUGGGGUGAGAAACUGUCAUGUGUUCCAGGAGCUGAAAUGGAGAUUUCCUUUGAGACUUCAAUUUCUUCUGGUCGUGGCUCAGAGCUACUUAGGGGAAGAUCGCAGGUUUGCGCUCAGGCUCCUGGACCCCGGGGUUUGAAUCCAUUGCUACCCCACCCGCUUUGCCAGCCAGGGCGCCCCAAGAGAAUUCUCCGAGACUGGGGUUUGCUUCCACUGGUGCUAUAUGCACGGGGUCUCCGAGAGAAGCCUGAAGGCCUCUUCAGCAUAACACCAGAGUCUUGGCAUGUUGUUCUGGAGGCCAGGAAGUCCAAGAUCGAGGUGCCAACAGGUUCAGUGUCUGAACACCAGGUGUCCACCUAUUUGGUUAAAGAUUCUUCUCUGGCUGUUUCUGUGAAGACGUUUCCUGAUGAGUUGAACAUUUAAAUCAACAGGCUGAGGAAAGAAGAUUGCCUUCCCCAAGAUUGGGACUCAGACUGGAGCUUACACCAUCGCUUCUCCUGGUUCCCAGGCCUUCGGACGUGGACUGGAACUACACCGUUGACUCUGCUGUGUCUCCAGCUUGCCGACUGUAGGUCGUGGGACUUCUCAGCCUCCAGAAUAGCAUAAGCCAAUUCCUUAUAGCAUAUUUCUUGGUUGGUUCUGUUUCUCUGGGGAACCCUAAUACACAAAACAAACGAGAAAGAAGAAAAUACAACAGUGACCUCAUGUGUCCUGAAAUAUUUACUAUCUGUUCCUUUACAGAAAAGUUUGCUGACCUCUCAUUGUAGUACAUAAGAAAGCUUGUACUGCUAGUAAUAGCAGCCACUCACUAUGCUUACUAGAAACUGGACAUCAUGCUGAGUGCUUGGCUUAUGUUAUUUCAGUCAUUCUUUGUAAUAACUUUUCAUGAAAGGUAUUUUUUUAAGUGAUGUUAAGUUAUUUUUUAUUUCCAUUUUAAGGUUGAGGAAACUAAACCAGGUUUAGAACUUGGAUUUGAUUAUUUUCAAAGCCCAGACUUUUCAACAUUACUGCCUGUACGGGAUCUACAUGACCAAGGAGGGAAAUUACUAUUUUGUGACUACAGAUGAAAUAUGCUAGAACUUACUCAGUUAUCUGUUGGAAGGUUUUUCGGCUCUCUAAAAACACUUAUUAGAAAUGAAAUGUCAGGUAGGAGAAAUAAAUUUGGUGUCCAUAUAGCUGGGAUCACUGAAGCCAUGGUAUCAAAUCAGAACAACCAGGCAUAGCGUAGAGAAAGUACAGAGAGAGAUGAGAGAUAUGAGGCGUGUCCUUGGGGGAAGAGGUGUAUGAAGAUGUUGGGGGGAGAAAAGGAACCAGAGAAGGAAUGGUCAGGGGAAAGGUGAUGGAUGAUGUGUGUGUGUGUGUGUGUAUUAGUUUGCUAGAGCUACUGUAACACAGUGCCACAAACUGAAUGGUUUAAAUUACAAAAAUUUAUCUUCUCACCGUCAUAAAGGCUAGAAGUCCAAGAUCAAUGUUUGGACAGGGCCACACUCCCCCUGAAGGCCCCAGGAAGGAUCUCGUCCUGUCUCUCUCCCAGCUAUGGUGGCAGCAUCACUCCAGUCUUCACAUGGUGUUCUCUGUGUGCAUGUCUGUCCGUGUCCAAAUUUCCCCUUUUUAUAAAGAUGCCAGUCAUAUUGGACCAGGGCCCAGCCUAACGACCUCAUUUUAACUUGAUUAUGUCGGUGAGACCCUAUUUCCAAAUGAGGUCAUACUCUGAGGUACUAGAAGUUAGGACUUUAAUGUAUGGAAUUUUUUUAGGGGGGACACGAUUCUGUCCAUAAUAGUGUGUGUGCACACACAUGCGUGUGCAAGAAAGGGACACAGAGGAAGACAGAGAGAUGGAGGCAGAUAGUUUGUUUCAGACAAAAGGGCAGGGAGUAGACACCGGUAUCAAAUAUUUCCAAAAGGCUGCAGGGGGAGUGCGAUUGGAAAGACAGAAAAUGCCGCUGCUUGAUCAGUAGGAGGACACUGGUGAUCUUAGAAAGAACAGUUUUGAAAAUGGUAAGAGGACACAGGCCAUAUGCAAGGGGUUAGGACAACGAAUCUUGUAUGUUCUGUCUCAGAAGCCCUUCCAUGUCCCCUGGAGCAGGGACCUUCACAACCCCACGAGGGGGUUGGAAGGAGGAAGGAGAGCACAUCUGUGACCCGUUUCAUGCGUGAGGAAAUCGAGGCUCAGAGAGUCACCCUCUUUUUAAUUCCUAGCACUUUUACGGUGAAUCUGGAACUGGCUUAUAACAGCUCGGGUGUUGUUUUUCUCUGUUUUUGUUUAAUUCUUGGGUCACAAAUGUAAAUUUUCAAGUCUUUUGUGGUGUCACACUAGGAAGUGGGCUUCACCAAGUCAGAGUAUCUUUGAUCAGGUCAUUUUUGGAUGUGAGAUGGGCAUGCUUAUACGUGGGUCACAGGGUUGUCGUGGGGCUUAAAUGAGUCGGGCAGCUAGGCACUCGGUAAUCAGUCUCUUUCCCCAGCAUCUCUCUACGUCCCGUGUGCGUCAGGCCCUUGGAUCUCUCACAGCGGCAAGCACCACGCUCCGCACGCAGCAAGUGCUCAGUAACUCUGUGGUCGUGUUUCCCCCAAUAACACUUGAAUACUCAGCUCCAUUAAGACAGUGAUGCUGAACAUCUUUUGUUUUCUCUCACCUGAACCUCCAUGUUGGUUACCAAAUUAAAAUGUAACAUUUUUAUCACAAACAUUUAUGGAACAUUUUCAUUCAUUUAACAGGUAUUUAGAGAGCAUAUUCUGCGAGCCGAAUAUUAUGUCUGGCACUGGAAACACAGAGGCUGACAAGGCAGGUUGCUUCUCCGUGAGGAGAAUGGCCCACGGUCGGCAGCUCUGGUGCAGCGGGAGCCCUGCCCUGGGUUCCUAAGGCCUUCGGAUUGAGAUCCAUCCUUUCCCCCUAAGCUGUGUGACUCUGGGCUAAUUACUAACUUCUCUGAGCCCCAGUUUCUUCUUCCAUAAAAUAGGAUUAAUAACACAACUCCAAACCCACCUUCUUUCAGUUGGAGCAGCUCCAAUUUUACAAUAUUGUUUUACAUAUUGGAUAUGGAGAGAUGGGUUUGAAGCGAUUUUUUUUACACCAGUGCCCCAGGAGGACUUUGUUCUACAGUGAAUACUGUCCUAAGUUACAGACUCUUUUUGCCACAGGCUACUUUAUCCAGUUUUUAAAUGCAUAUAUUCUAGUAGAGUUGGAUUUUCUUUACCUAUGUGAAGAGUUUCCUAUGAUGGCACAGAGCGUGGCCCCGUGCCGGGGGAUGGCUGCCAACUCGAAUGCCUACAGGGCCAGGAAGGCAGGUCACUGAAGUGGAGAUUGGACUGCCUGUGGUCCCCCGGGUAGGACACGGUCUGUCUGGAGCUGGUGACUGCUGCUCAGCUCUAGGCUUUUCUGCAGGAAAGUGGGCCCAGUGCUGUUAGGUCUGCCAUCGUUUCACAAGAAGCUGGAAAUCUGGAUUUCUAUGUUUUUUGGAUUUCCAAUUUUUUGGUCUUGGUUGUAUUUUUUCGUGAUGUUGAUCGUAUAGAAAUAUGUGUGGUCUGUAAUCAGCCGUUGACCACAAUAUUGUGAUUUUAAUCGGGAAAGGAACCGGAGGCUUUAGAGCCUGAAGGACUGCUGCCACUAUUAGCUAGAUGGGUGACCUUGGGCAAGUUGUUGAAUAUCUACCUGACUCAGUUUCUCCAUCUGCAAAAGUGAGGAUGGUAUUGCCUCUUCCCAGUGAAGUGGUGAGAAAAGUUAUGUGUAAAACCUAGCCCAAGACAAACAUGUUAAUUUAAAAAUGGGUAAAAGUUUUGAAUAGGUGUUUCACCAAAGAAAACAUACAAAUGUUUAAUGACUACAUGAAAAGAUUCUCAACAUCAUUAGUUAUUAGGGAAAUGCAAAUUAACACCACAUUGCAAUACUACUCCACAUGGAACAGGGUGGGUGUAAUCAAGAAAGUCAAAUAAUAGCAAGUGUUGGUGAGGAUGUGGGGAAACUGGAAUAUGCAUUGUUUCAUACAGUGCCAGUGAAAAGGUAAAAUGAUGUAGCCACUUUGGGAAACAAUUUGGCAGUUUCUUAAAAAGUUAAACAGGAAUUUACCAUACAACCCAGAAAUUCCAUUUAUAGUGUCUAUUCAAAUGAAAAUGUGUUCCAAAAGACUUGUUUGGGAAUGCUUAUAGCAGCACUAUUUAUAAAACAAAAAAAAAAAUGAAAACAAUUCAAAUGUUCAUGAACUGGUGAAAGGAUAUACAAAAUGUAGUACAUCCAUACAAUGGAAUAAAAAGUAUUGAAAUACUGAUAAAUGCUAAAACCUGGAUGGUCCUCAAAAAUCUUCUGCUAAGUAAAAUAAGCCAGAUGCAAAAGAUCACAGAUUGUAUAAUUCUAUUUAUAGGAAAUAUCCAGAAAAGUAAAUCUACAGAGGAAGAAAGUAGAUUAGUGUUUUCCUAGAGCAGGGAGUGGGAACAGGGACUGACUACAGUUAGACACAGGGGGUCUUUUUGGGGUGACAGGAAUGUUCUAAAACUCGAUUGCGGAAUUUUGGAAAUUUAUUAAAAAUCUUGGAAUUGUACACUUAAAAGCAGUGAAUUUUAGGGUAUGUAAGUUAUACUGCAGCCGAGCGUUUUUUGUAAAAAAAAAAAUAAUAACCAUAGCCUGGCACACAGUGUUUACUUAAUAAAUGCAACUUCUUCUCUUCUCCCUCAUGUACAGAAAGACAAAUUGCUUUGCAAUUAAGAACUCAGGUCCUGAAGUUGAACCCUGGCCAUUUCACUUACUAGCUGUGUGUCCUUGGAAAUAUUACUUAACCUCUCUAAGGCUCAGGUUCUUCAUUUGUAGACAGAAAAUAAUAGUAGCUAUGGAGUUUUCUUUUAAAGAAUUAAAUGAGAUUAUGCAUAUAAGGUGUGUAGCAUACGGUAAGCCCCCAAUGAAUGAUAGCGACAUUUGACGUUGUUUCCCAGAUUCCUCACCUUCUGUCUGCCCUUCUGUCUGUAGCAACAGUGGUUAUAACAGUUUUGCUUCCUCUGCUCUUCCUCCCCGCCCCACCCCCCAGCAACCCCAGGACGUUCUCUCCAGAACGUAGUGAGUUUAUAGGUCCAGAGUCUGGGUUUGAAGUACCACUUAGCAUUAUCUGACCAUGGAGUGUCACUGGAGGUAGAUAAGCACCUUUAAUAGCGCUCAGCGUGUUAACAUGCGUGCUCUGUUGUGUGCAUACUUACAUCUGGGAGGCUCACUGCCCUUUUACAGAUGUUAUCACGGGCUUCUACAGUGUUCCUGUCAGGUAGAGGGAGCGGGGAUCAAGAAGAGAGCCUCCUUUUGCAGACUGGUAAAUUGAUGCACAGAUAACUGGAGAGAUGUGCGGGAAUCACAUGGCAGACUGAUGGAGAGAGGAGACUGAUGGGAAGGAGGCCCUUCAGGUGUCCUCAGAGGGUGAGGGUCUCACUUAAGUAAGUGAUUUGAUGCAAGAAAUCUGAGCUCUUUCAGGCUGUCUUUCAUUCCCAGGGAGGUCUGGGGAACGCGUGUUUUACUUUACCCUAAGGAAAACAACAGUGCGAGUGUGGUGAUGAAUGUGGCCCCGCUGACGUUAGGAAGUGGUAGGGACUGUGGUAAGCUAGAGGGUCCAUGCUCCUUUCAAAAGGAGCAUCCAUUCAUCACCGAUUCUAUUAUUUCCAUGUGGGAAUGGGGCCCAGAGUGGCCAGAGAUCUGACUCCUUAAAAGAAAUUAGACAACCAGGCUUUUGUGUGAAACCUCCUAAUUUUUAAAUAUUACUAACAAAAAAAUGUUAACUAAAAAAAAUACAUCUACCAACUGGACAUGACCCCAGAUCUAACCUCUAUUCUGAAGUCAUCUUCCUGCAUCCAUCACGUGUGUUUGAGGAGAAGCUGACAGGACCUAUGAGGAUGUAUUGGAGGCAUUUAGUAAAGGGUGGUGAGAUUGUUUUCAAGGCUUCUUCUAUUUUCGUUCUGUGACAUCAGAGGACCAAGAGUAGCAUCCAGGAUGAAGGCUGAAGCCACACCCUGGUGGUCCCUAAAAGGCAAUGACACUGGUAGCAUUUCACAAUGUCAGUUUUAACAUGUGCAUGAGAAUCACGUCAGUUUUCCCUUCACUGACAUGCUACAUUUUAAUAAAGAUCAAGAUGAAAAGUAAAAAAGGAGGCUAUCAUAAAGUCAAAAACUCAGAAGGGCUUUCAAAAAACAGAGCCGAUUGGAAAAGCCUUUGCAUUAAGUGCCUGUGCUGAAUGGAUGUGGUCCCUUCUACCUCAGACUAGGGAGAUGUUUUAGAGGAAAUAUCAGCUUGUUCAAUAGAUCUUUUGCUGACAUACAUUCACUGCUGAUUUCAACAUCUUCCCAAGCCAACUUUGCAAAAUGGCAAAAAACCUAAGUGGAAAUAAUUAGUUUUCUUCACCCAUUGUUGCUUGGAGAUAUGUUGUAAAACUUUAAAAUCAGAUCUGAGAUUCAGAAUUUAGAAAGGUUCUUCUUGUCUUUGGUCGCUCAUGAUUUUUUUAACUGAACUCUGUUGAGUCAACAGUUGAGUGACUGCUGGGGUGGUAGGCAGGGCUCUGAGAAACACACUCAGUUUGAAAUUGAGUGCCCUUGGUGUACAGUGGGCCCGGAUGAAUGCUAGCUGUUAUCGUCACUGUCGUCGUCAUCAUCAGUCUUCAAGAGGAACAAGUGUGAAUUUGCUUGUUACGUCUUCAUCAGCAAUGAGAAUAAAAUGUUUCCUUGUGAUGCACAAUAUACCUCUUCAGAGAGUCCCAUUUUCACUUCAUAAAACAAAUGACAGAAAUGAAGCCUCCAGCUAGUGCUGUGCCAUCGCUCGUGGGUACCAACAGUGAACACAUGUAUCGCUGAUGUCUGUUCAUAAGCCCACUCUGGCAUGUGCUAUUGUGCUCUAACGAGUAAUGCACAGUCUUUUGUGUCAGUUGUGGUAAUGUGCCACCUCCUCUUUUAUCUUGAAUCUUCCAG